rnacentral:rRNA from 1 species
AGAGUUUGAUCCUGGCUCAGGAUGAACGCUAGCUACAGGCUUAACACAUGCAAGUCGAGGGGCAUCAGUUUGGUUUGCUUGCAAACCAAAGCUGGCGACCGGCGCACGGGUGAGUAACACGUAUCCAACCUGCCUCAUACUCGGGGAUAGCCUUUCGAAAGAAAGAUUAAUAUCCGAUAGCAUAUAUUUCCCGCAUGGGUUUUAUAUUAAAGAAAUUCGGUAUGAGAUGGGGAUGCGUUCCAUUAGUUUGUUGGCGGGGUAACGGCCCACCAAGACUACGAUGGAUAGGGGUUCUGAGAGGAAGGUCCCCCACAUUGGAACUGAGACACGGUCCAAACUCCUACGGGAGGCAGCAGUGAGGAAUAUUGGUCAAUGGACGCGAGUCUGAACCAGCCAAGUAGCGUGAAGGAUGACUGCCCUAUGGGUUGUAAACUUCUUUUAUAUGGGAAUAAAGUUGUCCACGUGUGGAUUUUUGUAUGUACCAUAUGAAUAAGGAUCGGCUAACUCCGUGCCAGCAGCCGCGGUAAUACGGAGGAUCCGAGCGUUAUCCGGAUUUAUUGGGUUUAAAGGGAGCGUAGGUGGAUUGUUAAGUCAGUUGUGAAAGUUUGCGGCUCAACCGUAAAAUUGCAGUUGAAACUGGCAGUCUUGAGUACAGUAGAGGUGGGCGGAAUUCGUGGUGUAGCGGUGAAAUGCUUAGAUAUCACGAAGAACUCCGAUUGCGAAGGCAGCUCACUGGAGUGUAACUGACGCUGAUGCUCGAAAGUGUGGGUAUCAAACAGGAUUAGAUACCCUGGUAGUCCACACAGUAAACGAUGAAUACUCGCUGUUUGCGAUAUACAGUAAGCGGCCAAGCGAAAGCAUUAAGUAUUCCACCUGGGGAGUACGCCGGCAACGGUGAAACUCAAAGGAAUUGACGGGGGCCCGCACAAGCGGAGGAACAUGUGGUUUAAUUCGAUGAUACGCGAGGAACCUUACCCGGGCUUAAAU